rfam:Pteropus alecto contig99882, whole genome shotgun sequence.
GGCUCCAUAGUGUAGUGGUUAGCACGUCUGCUUUACACGCAGUAGGUCCUGAGUUCACGCCUCAGGUGGAGCCA